UGUUUAGGCCAUUUACAGUGUCUAGGCCAUUUGCAUUGAAGCCAGCAAGAAAAAGGUUGCACAAAAAGAGGCCUUUCACCUGCUAAAAGAGGUGGCAAAGUGGCCACAGUUUCUACUUCAUCGAAAGCGGCAUUGCAGAAAGCAGUAGAUAAUGUUGCCAACAGAAUUAAACUUGAUUUGGGUCUAAUCUUGUUAUUUGAUUUUUGGGCUUU
rnacentral:lncRNA from 1 species